GCGGGGUGUCCAUCUUUAUGGGUGAGGUGUUGGUCCAAUAAGAAUAAUGGAAUUCUAUUGGGCUAAAGAAAGAAGGAACAAACUAUAAUUUCUUU